GGAAGUGUGCCCGAGCAUAAAGGACUACUUUGAUAGAGUACACCACAGAGGUGAAAUUCCCCUCACUUCCC
rnacentral:tRNA from 1 species